AUUAUUAUAAAUUUUAUAAAAAAGUUUACCAAGAAAAAAAAUCGGUAGAUGGAGCUACUUGCAUUUACGUCAAAAUAAUCAACGUAACCUCAAAAAGUUUAAUUUUGCAUAAAUUUAAUGUUUUAUUUUUAUUGAAGUAGUUGAAAGGUUAAAUAUACGUAUUAGAAUGGUACGUAUAUUAGAUUAUAUAGAAGAAGAAAUAGAAUCAUUUGAGAUUCUUGUAUUGUUGAUUACGUUAAGAGGCAAGGGUUGAUACGUUAAGAGGUAAAUUAAAUGAUGUUGUAUAAUAGGAGCUUUAAUAUAGAAUUCGUUUGAAGAUUUGAUUAAAUUAAUUGAAAGAAACAGCUUAAUUUGAGGUAUUUAUACAAAUUCUCUUUAAAACCUUAAAAAUAAUUUUUAGGUUGAGACCAACUUCAUUCCUAUUCAAAAUCAUACCCAAUUUACUUAAUUAUUCUAAUAAAGCUGAAUCAAAUUAAUUUCGAUUAAAAAAUAAUAAUAAUUAAUUAGAUUUUAAUAAAAAAAAGUUUACAAAAUAAGGCCGGUAGAUGGAGUCACUUACAUUUACGUCAAAAUAAUCAACAUAACCUCAUUCAAAGCUUAGAUUUGCAAUAAUAAUUUUAGUUACUAUUUUAAAUUAAAUUUGGUUUUAUUCUCGAUUAAUUUCAUGAAAAAGUAUGAAUGAAUAUAAUAGUGAUAGUGCUUAAAAAUGUUUUAUUGGAAAACGGGUGUACCAUCGAUAGGGAUUCUUAACCCAUUACGUAGAGCAAUAUCCGACGAUAACAUGGAGGAAAUAAUGAAACAUCUUAACACAGAUUAUUACAAAUUAAAUCGUGGAGACGAAGCUGGAAAUAAAGCAAGUUUAAACGCUUUAAAAUAUUAUCUUUAGUUAAAAGAUGUUCCUAUUAAUGUGCAAAAUCAUUAUGGAAGAAGUAUUUGGGGUCAUUGUAUUGUGGAUUCCAUUAAGAGGCAACGGUUGAAACUUAAAGAGGUAAAUUAAAUGAUGUUGUAUAAAAGGAGCUUUAAUAUAGAAUUUAUUUGAAGAUUUGAUUAAAUCAAUUGAGGGGAACAGCUUCGUUUGAGGGAUCUUCAUUC